UUUUAUAUAGCUUAUUUAGAGUGUAAUAUUGAAGAUAUUAAGGUGAAAUUUAUUUCUAUAAAAU
rnacentral:tRNA from 1 species